rnacentral:rRNA from 1 species
UUGGAGGGCAAGUCUGGUGCCAGCAGCCGCGGUAAUUUCAGCUCCAAUAGCGUAUAUUAAAGUUGUUGCAGUUAAAAAGCUCGUAGUUGAAUUUCGAGACCGGUUUACUGGUCGUGCUUUUGUACGUACUGGUAUUAUUGGUUUCUCCUUUCUGACGAAUCAUAAUGCCAUUAAUUUGGUGUUUUGGGGAAUCAGGACUGUUACUUUGAAAAAAUUAGUGUUUAAAGCAGGCGCACGCUUGAAUACAUUAGCAUGGAAUAAUGAAAUAGGACGUUUGAUUCUAUUUUGUUGGUUUCUAGGAUUGACGUAAUGAUUAAUAGGGAUAGUUGGGGGCAUUAGUAUUCAAUUGUCAGAGGUGAAAUUCUUGGAUUUAUUGAAGACUAACUACUGCGAAAGCAUUUGCCAAGGAUGUUUUCAUUAAUCAAGAACGAAAGUUAGGGGAUCGAAGACGAUCAGAUACCGUCGUAGUCUUAACCAUAAACUAUGCCGACUAGGGAUCGGAUGAUGUUAUUUUUAAUGACUCAUUCGGCGCCUUACGGGAAAC